UUUUCACAGUAUUUUCAAUUCUGGAUGAAGGAGAGGGUGACCUGCCUGACACGGACACAUUGACAUGAUUUUGUUCAAGAGGUGAAAUGAAGAUUGAUUUCCCAAACUGUAUAAUUUGGUGAUUGGGCUAUUUUUCUAAGUAGACGUUCCUGUAGGUAAAAGAAGAGGAUUGUCAAAUUUUGUUGGUUCUCAGGACUCGUAACCAACAAAAGGAAAACAUGAGGAUGGCUCUUAGAGGGGUUUUGUUUCACCUAAGCUCAAGAUGUCUGCC